rnacentral:rRNA from 1 species
AGGAUCAUUAUAGAGAGAGAGAGGUACUGUCGCAGCCAAUGCACGUCCUCGUUCAUCUACACACACACACCUGUGCACCUUUAUUGUAGGCCCUCGAGAGAGGAUCUAUGUCAUUUCUAUAUAACUCGUCCUUGUCGUAUGUCUAGAACGAAUGAUAAUUGGGAUAAUGUACAACUUUCAGCAACGGAYCUCUUGGCUCUCGCAUCGAUGAAGAACGCAGCGAAUUGCGAUAAGUAAUGUGAAUUGCAGAUUUCCAGUGAAUCAUCGAAUCUUUGAACGCACCUUGCGCUCCUUGGUAUUCCGAGGAGCAUGCCUGUUUGAGUGUCAUUUAGUUCUCAACCAUGAUAUGAUGAUCAUCAUGGCUUGGACUUGGGGGUUUGCUGAAGCCUGCUCAGCUCUCCUGAAACAUAUUAGCGAUGAGUCCUAGUCUCUUUGGUGUGAUAAUGAUCAUCAUGGAGGCUCACUUCGAUUCGCUUCUAACGGAAUGUGGAACGCUAGCUAGCUAGUUACUAGUCUUGGUCCUGGACUGGACCUUGGCGAACACAGCUCUCAUGUGUGUCCCACCUUGAAACUUGACCUCAAAUCAGGUAGGACUACCCGCUGAACUUAAGCAUAUCAAUAAGCGGAGGAAAAGAAACUAACAAGGAUUCCCCUAGUAACUGCGAGUGAAGCGGGAACAGCUCAAAUUUUGAAUCUGGUGGGUCGUUUCGUCCGUCCGAGUUGUAAUCUAGAGAAGCGUCUUCCGCGCUGGCCCGUGUACAAGUCUCCUGGAACGGAGCAUCAUAGAGGGUGAGAAUCCCGUCUUUGACACGGACUACCAUGUGCUAUGCGAUGCGCUCUCGACGAGUCGAGUUGUUUGGGAAUGCAGCUCAAAACGGGUGGUAAAUUCCAUCUAAAGCUAAAUACAGGCGAGAGACCGAUAGCGAACAAGUACCGUGAGGGAAAGAUGAAAAGAACUUUGGAAAGAGAGUUAAACAGUACGUGAAAUUGCUGAAAGGGAAACGCUCGACGUCAGUCGCGUCUGCUGGGGAUCAACCUUGCUUCAUCGCUCGGUGCAUUUCCUGGUCGGACGGGUCAGCAUCAGUUUCGUUCGACGCACAAGGGUGGCAGGAACGUGGCACUCUUCGGAGUGUGUUAUAGCCUGACCGUCGCAUGCGCUGGACCUGGGACUGAGG